rnacentral:rRNA from 1 species
AUGUAUGCUGGCUCAAACCCCACCUCGGAAAUGAGGAACUCUGACUUGCUCUCCAGCAUACCACCUGAACGUCUUCUUCAAGUGCUCCACUUUGGCGGCGAUCUUCUCCUCGCUGAGGAAUGCAACAGCUUGUAACGCAUGCCUGAACAUCGGAGAUCCACGGGGUACACCAAGACCAUCGACGCACGCCACUGCUGUCCGGAUGCGUUCCGUGCUGAUGCUGAGCGGCGAUGGCCUAAAUACAUAGAACUUGGCAAUAUCGCAACCACCUAG